GUCCCUUUUGGAUUUAAAAUCAAUGCGGAAGUGCCCAAAUUUUUUUAAAGAAAAAAUCUUGACCCAGAGGAUGUCAGAUCUGCCACAAAUAUAGGAUAUCCACUGUCCACACGGACAGAGUCUCCCAUCUAUUUGCACGGCGUUGCACGAGUACAAGAUAUAACCACACAGUAUGAACAUCCACUUACAAUCACCAUUCACAUACAUCAUUCACAUCCAUCAUAGUUUAUCAUAAUUCCACAUCUAUUAGUUUAAAAUAUUUCCUACUCGAAAAUUUAUUUUGAAAUACUAAAAAUCAUGAAAAUCAAGAAAACUCUUUUUAAAAUAGUUUCCCACACGAAACCUUUUUUCUUUAAAACACGCUACCACGAGGGGUAAAAAACUGUUUCCAUUUCAUCAAAAAAUCUUAAGUACUUUAUUACAUUCACAAACCACAU
rnacentral:lncRNA from 1 species